UUCUAAAACCGUUUAUUAUAUCGUCUCGAAUUAUAUCUCCUCGUAGCGGCGCGCGCUCGUCUCUCUCUCUCUCUCUCUCUGUCUGUAUCUCCGUAUCUCUGUAUCUAUCUAUACGUGUAUACAUAUUUAGUUACGUAGACGGUGAAUAAAGUAAAUUGAAAACGGCGGCGGCGGCGGCGGCGAAAGAAAUCAAUUUUCAUUUUACACGUCCUACAGCCAUUUCAAUGGGACGCGACAUUGUGU